UUAGGAAUAUUCGUCAAUGGGGGAAACCCUGAACGAGCAAUGCCGCGUGAAUGAUGAAGGCCCUCUGGGUUGUAAAAUUCUGUUGUUUGGAAAGAAAUGUAAGGAUAGGAAAUGAUUCUUACUUGACGGUACCAUUCAAGAAAGCCACGGCUAACUACGUGCCAGCAGCCGCGGUAAUACGUAGGUGGCGAGCGUUAUCCGGAUUUAUUGGGCGUAAAGCGUGCGCAGACGGUUUAUUAAGUCUGAAAUUAAAGCCCGGAGCUUAACUCCGGUUCGUUUCAGAAACUGGUAUGACUAGAGUGUAGUAGAGGCAAAUGGAAUUUCUAGUGUAGCGGUAAAAUGCGUAGAUAUUAGAAGGAACACCAGUGGCGAAGGCGAUUUGCUGGGCUAUUACUGACGUUCAUGCACGAAAGCGUGGGGAGCAAAUA
rnacentral:rRNA from 1 species